CGGACAAUAUACAAGGUGCUGCAUGGUUGUCGUCAGCUCGUGCCGUGAGGUGUCGGGUUAAGUCCCAUAACGAGCGCAACCCUACUCAUUAGUUGCCAUCAGGUCAAGCUGGGGACUCUAAUGAAACUGCCUACGCAAGUAGUGAGGAAGGUGGGGAUGACGUCAAAUCAGCACGGCCCUUACGUCCAGGGCUACACACGUGCUACAAUGGCCGGUACAAAGGGCAGCUACCUGGUGACAGGAUGCUAAUCUCCAAAGUCGGUCUCAGUUCGGAUCGGAGUCUGCAACCCGACUCCGUGAAGUUGGAUUCGCUAGUAAUCGCGCAUCAGCCAUGGCGCGGUGAAUACGUUCCCGGGCCUU
rnacentral:rRNA from 1 species